ACGUUUUUUUCUUCACUUGUUUAUUGAUGUGUUUGAAUUUAACUUAUAAUUGUGUAAUACAAUUCAUAUUUUGAUGCAAGAAAUUGCAAUUUAAAUAAAAUGCCUGGAAACAAGUCCUUGAAAAAAAAAGAAUCAAAAGAGGAUGGUUCACCCUAUAGUGGGAUUCCUCAAAUAGCAACAGAAGAUCAGAGAAAGCCUAUAAUACCACUUUGGCUCGAAUGGAGUGAUCAAGAUAUUUUAAAUGAAAAAUGGGAUCCAUCUAAAAAAGAUAAAGAGAAAGUAAGAAGCUCCUCUGCUCAAGUGAAUUUUUUUGAUGAUCCUGAAGGUAAAGUUUUGCUUCCUCCAUCAUUGAAUUUACAGGUUAAAUCAUGGAAAAGACCAUCAGAUAUCAUUACUGGAAAGACUGCAGUGAUUGUUGACCCUGAAUUUGAUCAUAUUGGCGAUCUGUUAAUAAAAAAUGGACAUAUUGUUCAAGAUAAGGUAAUGAAUGCAAUUAUCUCAUGCAUUUCUGUUGUUUCAUCAUAUUUUUGUCAAGCACAGUUUAAUGAAACAAGCAGCAGUUCUUUAAAAUUAAAAUCGUCUUUAAUAAAAGAACAGAACAACACAAAAGCUGAUAAAAUUAGAAAAGAAAAUGAAAUAAAGGAUGAACACUUUUGUAACCCUUGGGAUCUUAUCUGGCCUAAAGAAAAUCCAAAAUCUUAUAGUUUACCAGUUGUAAAUUUAUCAGGGAAAUAUGCAGUUAAACUAUUUUGGAUGGGGACACAGAGAAAGAUUAUUGUUGAUGAUACUAUACCAUGUGAUCAAAAUAACUUGCCUUUAUUGCCAUUUACAUCUAGAGGAAAUGAACUUUGGUUGCCUAUACUGACAAAAGCUAUUCUUAAAAUUGCUUCAUUACAUUAUUGCAACAAUAUUAUAAAUGACCUACAGGACUUUCAUGUUGUUUAUUGCUUACUUGGCUGGUUACCUGAACUAAUACCCCUUAAUGAAAAGUAUAAAGAUUCUAUAUGGAAAAUGUUAAUGCAAAGUUUGUCAGUUUGGAAGCUUCCCCAAUCACCUAUUAUUGUGGAACAUACAGCUCCAGAUGAAAAAAUUUCGACUGAUGAAUUGCAAACAAAGCAACUGCUAUCUGCUAAAGUUUCAAAAGAUAAAGGUGCUAAAAUAAAAGAUGAAAAAAAGUUAAAAGGACUUGAAAAAGAUAAAACUCAAAAAGAGAAAAUUUUUAUAUCAAAUCAACCUUUGACUAAAGUUGAUGAAACACCUGUUAUUAUAUUUGCUUGUAAUGUGCUAGGUGAAAGCGAGUUUUCAGAAAAAUAUCCAUUUUAUUCACCAUUAAUACAACAUGUCUACAUAAAUUACAUUCGUAAUUGCUCAUUGAUUCCACCUCCUGAUUUAGCUCCAAUCCCUCAAUGGAAGCUUAUAAGAAAGAAAAAGGAGCUCAAAGAAUUACUUAAACAGCAAGUUAAAGAGCCAAAGUUUUUACAGCUUAAAUCUCCUUUUUUUCAAUUUAGCGAAUGCAAUAAUAACACUGCUAUUAGCACUUCUGAUAAUAACUCUUCAACUAAUAAUAUUUAUAUUGAUAAUUUUAUUAAUAGGAGUAUAACAAAUAACACUUCUAAUAGAAAUUUGAGUGUAUUAGUUGAACAACAUGAUCCUAUUGGUAAGAUUAACAUGGUUGAGAGUUUGAUUGAUUCUUAUAUAACUAAGCACAAAAACAACAACAACAACAGCAGAGGUUUGGAAGGUGCAAUUGAUACUUUGACUAAAUACAAUAAUAAUGGAGUUUUGGAAGGGGGAAGUGAUGCAUCAAGUAAAUUAAAAAAGAAAAUAAAUUUAGAUAAAAAUGGGUUAGCAAUAGAGGCUUGGAUAGAGUUUGAUGAUUUCUUAAAGUUUUUUAGCAUGCUGCUGAUUUAUCAUAAACCCAAAAUGUAUUUCAAAACAGCAUCUGAAACUAAGUUAUUUGAUAUAAAAUAUGAAAAAGAAAGCUCAACCAGCAAUCCUAACGAAGAAUUACCUUCAUCAGUCAUUAACAGAAUAUCAUGUAGUGAACUUUCAUCUCCAUACAUAGUUAUUGAUAGUUUAAAAAAAACAGAAAUUAUAAUAUGUUUUCAAUCUUUUUCUCGAUGGUUUGAACAUAGCAGUCCUACUGAUGUUGUUCAGAGAAAGCAAUCUAAUUUUCCUGGAAAUCUUUAUGUUGAACCAUUUUGUUGGCGAGAAAUACAAAAAAAAAAAGCAGUUUUGAAAAUUUCAACGAUUGGCAUAAAAUCAGUUACCAUGUCGCUACCUCCUGGGAGAUUUAUCUUUCAAUUGGUUGUUUAUGCUCAACUGGGUUUUAAUGUAACUGUAUGCUCGAUGGAUUCUUUUUCAAUGUGUGACGAACGCACCUUGGUGCAACAUCUUAACAAAGAAAGUGCACAGUUUAUAGAGUAUUCAUUGUCAACCAUAAAGCAGCUAAAAACUGUGAUUCAAUCCUUUGAAGAAUGGCCAAGAAGUAAAGCUUUGUUUUUGCUUGGAACUGAGUCUCAAUCACCGGAAAUACAUCUAAAGCAUUUUCAAGUGUUUAAUCAGAGUCUUUUAACUGUGUUAAAAAGUUGUUUAAAUGAAACAUUCACACCAAAACUAGUUUUUGCUUUAAAUGCACUUAAAUUUAAGUUGUAUUUCCAUUUGCAAAAAAAUAAAAAACUAAUCAAAUCUUGCAACACCAUUGUUACAACUCCUUGUGUGGUAAUUGAUACAGGAGAACCAAGUGAUGAAAAUCUGAAUAACAUUAAUGUUGAGAAAAUUGUAGUAGAAAGCAAUAGUGAUAGAUUUAAUGAUACAAGAAGCAGUAAAACGUUGUUUCAAAAAAAUGAUACAAAAGAAGUUUCUAUAGACUCUUUUGCAGUUAAAAUACAAGCUUGUUUUAAAGGAUUCUACAUCAGAAAAUUAAUUAAAGCUUGUAAAACAGGCACAAAAGAGUUUGAUUUUGUUGUUUCUGAUUUAAAUAAGUUGUGGAUUCAAGUAGAAUCAAACAUUGAGUAUAUUGCACUAAAAGUUACUCAUGAGAUUUUUCAAUCCGAUCCAUCUAUAUUACUUUUAUUGCCAUUCCAAUCAAGUGAAUGGAAUAGUAUUAUUCAAAAUGAGUGGAAUAAAGUUGUUUAUGCAGAUUAUUUAGUCAGUUAUAAUGAACAGCCAAUUCACUCUGCUUUUGUUAUAUGUAGGGAAGUGUAUAAAGUUAAAGAAGAUGUUUUUAUACUGCCAAGAGUAUUUUCUAGUAUUCCUCAAUGUGUACUGAGGAUUAUAAACAAUGACAAUCAUAAAGAGAUGAAAUCUUUUUAUGGAAAGGUGUUUCCUCAAGUGCUUCCAGUUAAUGAGCUUGGUUACACAUUUGUUGUUUUGGUAAGAAAAAAUAAUAAUUUGAUUUCUGCUGGAAAGCUUACUCUUCGUAUUAUUGGUGAAAAAGAACCUCUUCCAUAUCCAAACAAAGAAAGUUGUAUAAAUUCCAGCUUGUCAACUAUGGAUAUUAAAGAAUACUACAUACCAAACCUGUACAAAAGAAUAUUUAGGUAUACACUAAAUGUAUCUGCUGCUACUUUAACAAGCAUACAGUUAACUACUUCUAAUGAAAAUGCUUUAAUUAGUUUCAAGAUUAUUGAUAAUAAUGAAGAAUUGUAUACAUGUAAUGGAAAAGGUUAUAUUGAUAUACCAAGUUUUAUGUUUUUUAAAGACAAUCUGCCUUGUAGCAAUUCAAAUGUUACUCAAUCUGAAUCAAAUGGAUUUUCAAAAGGAGUACCUUUCAAAGAGAAUUUAUCUAAAAUUACAGUUAAGCAAUCCAUUAAUAUGCGAUUAAAUAAUAAUACUGAUGAAGGAGAAGGUCUUAAAGAUCAGGUUCAUAGCUAUGUUAUUGAAGCGUUCAUUCUUAAUGAUAGUUGGCCUUUGACGAAAGAUCAAUGGAACUUUUUAGAAAAAUUGAAAUUAAAAGAAGAAUUUGAGGAUGAUGAUACUGUUGAAGUAAAAGAUAACAGUGGAAAAAAAGGUGCUGGGAAAAAUAAAAAGACUAAAGAUGGUAAAAACAAACAGCGCCCAGAUUCACAGAAUAAAAAUUUUAUUGAUAUAUCAAAACCACAUUGGAAUCUCCGGCUUGUGGUUGACUUAAAUAUGGAGCAAGCUGUUAAAUUAAAGAAAGACACAGAAAGAGAAAGUCAAAUUAAAGCUAUUAAAUUAGCAUGGGAACUGGUUGAUUCGGGAAGAUCUUCAAGAGCAUUUAUUUCACGAGGAAAAUAUAUACAAACUCUCAAAUGGAAUAAUGAAAUGAAAAAUGAAAAUGAAAAAGUCAAUGAAUUAAUUUCUAUUGAAAAAGGGUUGUCUAAUCUUAUCUUAACUGGUGUGUCAGAUGAGAGUGAAUUGCUUACCAAAGCACCAGAAAAAAAAGAAGAUGCAUAUUUAAAAGACUUUGAUAUGAAGCCUUUUACUAGCUGGUUAGUUUUCUCAGGGCUGGUUUUGUUCCUUUUCCUCUGGAUAUGCCAAAAGAUACUAGAAAUCAUGUAUUUUCAAAAUGUAUGUUUUAAAAAUCAGAAUGCCAAAUGAAGAAUCUUUUUUACGAGAUCAGCUUGUAUUUCACCCUGCAAAAGGCAGCAGUAUUUUGUUUUCUAAUUCAAUUAUUUUUAUCUGGAAAUUAUGUUUCACAUUACCACAUUUUGUGAAUCGCCAAAUCCUCAAUGAAGCAGCUACCUGAAGGAAAACUUUAGAACAAGUCUUAAAUGUGAUACUGUUUCUUCUGAAAAAAAUUUUCAGAAAAUCUGGUUUCAGGUGCAUUUCACCAAUCAUUGUUUUUAAAAUGAAGUUAUUGGUUCUUUGCAGCUGAGGUUCGCAGGCGAAUCGUAUAAAAAUGCAAGACUGAAAAAUAUUUAACAUGAGGUGUGGCAUUAACAAUGGUUAAUGCCACACCUCAUGUUAGCCUUACUGAAUAAAAUACGUUUAUUAUUCGAUAUGUAUAUUAGGAAGAACCAGGAAAAAAUUCAAUUGAAGAACUGUUUUUUAUCUUUGAAGAUUGCCAAAUAAGACUGGAUCUGAUUUUGCAGGAUUAUUUUUAAAAAUUUAGGAAACUUUAGAAAUUUGUUUUAAAAAGAAAAUUCAAGCAAUCCUAAAAAAAAAAGAACCCAUUCUCAACCUGUGGUUAAACUUUCUUUAGAACUGUUCAAAACGUGUAUAAAAUCUUAUAGAUGUCCUUUCUCUAAUCAAUUGAGUUAAAUCGUUAAAUCUUUGGAAAAAGUUCAGAGCUUGUAUUUAUAUUUAUACGCCUAAAACAAAAACUUAGAUUAGAGGUGCCUUGAAAUAUUUGAGAUAUCUGGAGUUUUGAUGAAAAUCCUCAUAUUGAUUAAUUGCUGAAACUAGGUCAUUCAGGCAAAAAGGCAACUAUUCAUAUAAGGCGAUAUUCAGGUAAAAAAUUUUAAAGUAUUGAUCAGUCACCUUAAAUCUGUUUUGGAGAUGGCCAACAGUUUUGAAAAAAGCUAAAUUUGCUCCAGAUGCUGCAGAAAUCAGUUCUAAAUUUCUAAUCCACCAAAAAGUGAAGCGCAAUGGUUUUGCUUGAAAGCAAAAUGAAGAUGAGGAACAUAUCACGGAAUCAACCGAAACAGAAUGAGGAGAGGAAGCGACAUUUCGAAGAGGUUUUUUAUUACAUUCUUGACUCUGUGAUUGGUAAACUUUGUUCUCGUUUCACAGCCAUUCAAGAAAUCUUUGCUAUAUUAUCUUUUUUUGUGGGAAUAUAUAAAACUGUUUGAAGCAAUGAUGAAUUGUGCAUGCAACCAUUUUUCGCCAAAGUAAUAAUGCGACGUGACUGAAAAUAAACUGACAGAAAAAUGUUUUUAACUUUAAUUUUUUCAAAACCGCUUUCCCCAUUCGACUUGUUAAACAAAAUUUCAGAAAUGAGGAGAACUCUUCAGAUAUUUAGUGGUUGCACUGCGUAUUUUUGCUUCAAUUUUGAGGAACAAAAAUAAACAAGUAAUUUUGCCAUUUUGAGUGUCUAUUAGCACAAAAUCUUGAUUUCCAUGAUGUGACUGAAGAGUUUGCAAAAAAAAAGAUCAACAUCUGAAAAAAAAAAGUUUGAAAUAAAAAAUCUACAUGAUCAGCAGGUAGAAAAUUACAAACAUUUUCGUGAAAAUUGCGAGCUCAUUCUAGUAAAACGUGAAUAUGAUCACCUUGUAAGAAAUGCAG